UGUCUGGGAAACUGCCUGAUGGAGGGGGAUAACUACUGGAAACGGUAGCUAAUACCGCAUAACGUCGCAAGACCAAAGAGGGGGACCUUCGGGCCUCUUGCCAUCGGAUGUGCCCAGAUGGGAUUAGCUAGUAGGUGGGGUAACGGCUCACCUAGGCGACGAUCCCUAGCUGGUCUGAGAGGAUGACCAGCCACACUGGAACUGAGACACGGUCCAGACUCCUACGGGAGGCAGCAGUGGGGAAUAUUGCACAAUGGGCGCAAGCCUGAUGCAGCCAUGCCGCGUGUAUGAAGAAGGCCUUCGGGUUGUAAAGUACUUUCAGCGGGGAGGAAGGGAGUAAAGUUAAUACCUUUGCUCAUUGACGUUACCCGCAGAAGAAGCACCGGCUAACUCCGUGCCAGCAGCCGCGGUAAUACGGAGGGUGCAAGCGUUAAUCGGAAUUACUGGGCGUAAAGCGCACGCAGGCGGUUUGUUAAGUCAGAUGUGAAAUCCCCGGGCUCAACCUGGGAACUGCAUCUGAUACUGGCAAGCUUGAGUCUCGUAGAGGGGGGUAGAAUUCCAGGUGUAGCGGUGAAAUGCGUAGAGAUCUGGAGGAAUACCGGUGGCGAAGGCGGCCCCCUGGACGAAGACUGACGCUCAGGUGCG
rnacentral:rRNA from 2 species